AUACGGAAGGUCCGGGCGUUAUCCGGAUUUAUUGGGUUUAAAGGGAGCGCAGGCGGAGAUGCAAGCGUGACGUCAAAUUUCGGGGCUCAACCCCGUCUCGCGUCGCGAACUGCGUCCCUUGGUUGCGGGAAGGGGAGGCGGAACUCGUGGUGUAGCGGUGAAAUGCAUAGAUAUCACGAAGAACUCCGAUCGCGAAGGCAGCCUUCCGGCCCGUCAACGACGCUCAUGCUCGAAGGUGCGGGUAUCAAACAGGAUUAGAUACCCUGGUAGUCCGCACAGUAAACGAUGGACACCCGCGGUUUGGCCUGUAUGGCUGAGCCGCCAAGCGAAAGCGUUAAGUGUCCCACCUGGGGAGUACGCCGGCAACGGUGAA
rnacentral:rRNA from 1 species